UACGAAGGGGGCUAGCGUUGCUCGGAAUCACUGGGCGCAAAGGGUGCGUAGGCGGGUCUUUAAGUCAGGGGUGAAAUCCUGGAGCUCAACUCCAGAACUGCCUUUGAUACUGAAGAUCUUGAGUUCGGGAGAGGUGAGUGGAACUGCGAGUGUAGAGGUGAAAUUCGUAGAUAUUCGCAAGAACACCAGUGGCGAAGGCGGCUUACUGGUCCGGUUCUGACGCUGAGGCGCGAAAGCGUGGGGAGCAAACAGG
rnacentral:rRNA from 1 species